rnacentral:snRNA from 1 species
CGAUGUAAGGAUGAUCUGGCUGAGACAAAUGUCACUCCACUGAUCGCCAGGGUUGAUUCCGCUGAUCUGGCUGACUAGGCAGGUGUCCCCUUCCUCCCUCACUGCUCCAUGUAUGUCCCUCCCGAAGCUGCGCCCCCAGUCGAAGAGGAUGGUCUUCCCAGAAAAGAGGAGAACCAGUCUUGAGUCAAGGGGCUACAAGUAGCUGCUCUCCCCUGCUAGAACCUCCAAACAAGCUCUCAAGAAAGGGUCUCAUUCUAGCCCAGGCUGACUUGGAAUUCACUAUGUAGUAGUCUCAGGCUGGCCUGCAACUCACAGAGAUAUUCCUACCUUG